UGGGGAAUCUUGCGCAAUGGACGAAAGUCUGACGCAGCCACGCCGCGUGAGUGAAGAAGGCCUUCGGGUUGUAAAGCUCUGUCGGAGGGGACAAAAACCUUUUGGGUUAAUAGCCCAAGAGCUUGAUGGUACCCUUAAAGGAAGCGCCGGCUAACUUCGUGCCAGCAGCCGCGGUAAUACGAAGGGUGCAAGCGUUGCUCGGAAUUAUUGGGCGUAAAGGGUAGGUAGGUGGUCAUAAAAGUCUGGGGUGAAAUCCCUGAGCUCAACUCAGGAAGUGCCUUGGAAACUUUAUUACUAGAGUGCUGGAGAGGUUCGCAGAAUUCCCGGUGUAGCGGUGAAAUGCGUAGAGAUCGGGAGGAAUACCAGAGGCGAAGGCGGCGAACUGGACAGCAACUGACACUCAACUACGAAAGCGUGGGUAGCAAACAGGAUUAGAUACCCUGGUAGUCCACGCUGUAAACGAUCGGUACUAGAGAUGGUGGGAGUUGACCCCUGCCGUCUCGGAGCUAACGCGAUAAGUACCGCGCCUGGGAAGUACGGUCGCAAGACUA
rnacentral:rRNA from 1 species